rnacentral:rRNA from 1 species
UACGUAGGGGGCAAGCGUUGUCCGGAAUUAUUGGGCGUAAAGCGCGUGUAGGCGGCCAGAUAAGUCCGCUGUGAAAGUCGGGGGCUCAACCCUCGAAUGCCGGUGGAUACUGUCGGGCUAGAGUGCGGAAGAGGCGAGUGGAAUUCCUGGUGUAGCGGUGAAAUGCGCAGAUAUCAGGAGGAACACCAAUUGCGAAGGCAGCUCGCUGGGACGUUACUGACGCUGAGACGCGAAAGCGUGGGGAGCAAACAGG